CCUACGGGUGGCAGCAGUGGGGAAUAGUGCACAAUGGGGGAAACCCUGAUGCAGCGACGCCGCGUGAGCGAUGAAGUAUUUCGGUAGGUAAAGCUCUAUCAGCAGGGAAGAAAAUGACGGUACCUGACUAAGAAGCCCCGGCUAACGACGUGCCAGCAGCCGCGGUAAUACGUAGGGGGCAAGCGUUAUCCGGAUUUACUGGGUGUAAAGGGAGCGUAGACGGCGGUGCAAGCCAGAUGUGAAAGCCCGGGGCUCACCCCCGGGACUGCCUUUGGAACUGUGCUGCUAGAGUGUCGGAGAGGCAGGCGGUAUUCCUCGUGUAGCGGUGACCUGCGUAGAUCUUCGGAGGAACCCCAGUGGCGACGGCGGCCUGCUGGACGAUGCCUGACGUUGUGGCUCG
rnacentral:rRNA from 1 species